rnacentral:lncRNA from 1 species
UCGUCGAGUCUGCUCCCAAUCGGCUUCCUGGCGUCCUACUCGACGUGUCAUCGAGCCAUGACGUCGAGUCUGGUCCUGGGUGAUCUUGAACGACUUCAUUCCUCUCCAACUCGAUCCCAAGUCUAGCUCCAAGGUCGUGUUGGUUCCUCCAUGCUCCAUUAAGUCCCAAAUAAGCUCCAAAGUACCUGAAACUCAUCCAAUAUGCAACAUGCUAUGCCAUGCAAUGCAAAUCGUACUAAGUGAUGGAAAUCUUAUGAAAAAGGACUACUAAUGAAGUGAAACAGAGAGGUAACUAAGCUAAAUGCAUAAGAAAUGUGUGCUAAAAAGAGGUAAAAUACAGAGAUAUCACCCUUCUCUUAUAAACUAGAGUUUAUUUUGCAUACAAGAUAUAGUAUAGCUUCUCGAUAGAUUUUUAACAUUUUCAGUUAUAUUUAACUAUUGUGAUUGUUAGAGGGUGAGAUCUUAACUUGUAUACUAUGUGAUUCCAUAAAUAUUUCAUUAUGUAUACCGUUGUGUGUAAUGAGUCAAAAGAUGGUAAGGAGAUGUGAUAAUUUCUACAUAGAAGAAGGCUCUAAUCAAUGACGGGAUAAAACGAUACAUAUAAACACUAAACCAAAGUGAUGCAUUAAAUAUUUUUAAUUCAUAACUUUUUUAUAUUUGCAGAUUUUUUUAAUAAUUUAAAACUGUGUCUUACAAUAUUUAUUCAAACCACUAUUAAUUUAUAAUUUUUUUAUAUUCAAACCAUUAAUACUUCAGACACACCAAAAUUAAUUUUAAGCUUUCGGCACUUAUAUUUCCAUUGUUUUCACCACUAUAAACUUUUUUUAUUCUAUUUCACAAUUGAAUCCUUUUUAAACAAUAUAAUUCACAUAUUUUCAAAUUUUAGUUAUAGAAGAAAAUAUUUUGAAACUAAAAUUAUUUAGAAAAUUAAUAAAAAAAACAAUAUAUAUUUAUCUAUUUUAUAGAAAAAAAAAUUUUGUGAGCAAAACAAAAAGAGACAAAAACAAUCCAAUAAAAUUUAAAAAAAAAAAACGAAAAAACAAAACAAUUACUAAAUUAAUAUAUACACUCUCUGUUUCUAAAUAAUAGAUUUUCUAGAAAACAUUUUUGUUUCAAAAGAUAUAUUUUUUUAGGUUUUCUAUGCAAUAUUUAUUAGUUAUUAUUGAUGAAUUGUAAACUUCAAGAAAAAUAACUGAAUAUCAUUGGAUUAGAAUUAUAGAAAAUUAUAAAUCACAAAAAUGAUACAUUUCUAAUCAACUUUUAAUAUGUUUUCUUAAUAUGUGUAAAAACUCUAAAAAUCAAUUAUUUAGAAAUAAAGGGAGUAGCAUUUUGCUGAAAUAAAAAGAGUUUAGGAUAAGAUAUUUUGAGUAAAUGAUAAAGGUAAGAAAUUUUGUUGUCCAAAGUCGUUGUGACACCUGACAUGCUGACACACUCUAAAACAAAUUAGGGUUUACACAUUUUCUUAUGUAUACACAUAUAUAUAUAGCUAAACCUAUCAAGUUCUGUAGCCAUCAUGGAAAGACACGAACGCAGCCGCCUAAAGAGGCCAACGACUUCUCAGAUCCAUUGUUGAAGAUCGAUGAAGCAGAAAUCCGAAGGAGAGAAUGGUGGAAAUGGAGAUCUCAUGCAUAUAGAGUAAGUGAAUUCAAUGUCCUGGUUGCUAAUUCUAGAGUGCAAAGUUAACUGAUCCCUACUUAAAAACAUUAGCCAUCUUCUUCAAAUCUCAACCUAACCUCUGCCUUAAUCAAAUCAAGCAUUCAAAUCUGCACAUUCCCUUUAACAUUUAUUAAGCAGGAACCGUGAAUCAUACUAUGCAAUGAAUAUGAACACAUUUGGCUAAAAGGGUAAAGGUUUUAGAGACAAAGAUGGUCCCUUAAAGAACUGGUUUAAGUCGCAACAGGGGAUCUCUCAAGAAUGAUUGAGCUUUAGUAGAAUGCUAAAGGUGAGUAUCAAGUUAUGCAUACAAGGAUAAGACCCCAUCUACCCAGAAUGUAAUCAAUAUCAACCCAAAUAGAGGUCCUAUUUCUAAUCCCAGAAUCAUGAACUUAACUCUACCCUUUUGCACUCAAAGCAUUUACAGACUUUACUCAAAUCAUCCCUUUCUUUUCUUUGCUUUCUAUCCUAGGAGAAGCUUUCUUACUGCUCUGUCUAGCGAAUCAGGUUUCUUUAACAACUAGGGUUCCCUUUUCUUUCUUCUUAUAAACACAAGGCUUUUGCCCAAUCUCUUUAAGCUAUUUACGGAACCCUUUUUCCUUUACUUUAGCAUACCCAAAUCCUUUACUAGACUUAUCUUACUUUAGCUACUUCUCCUUAGGACUCUUUUCCCUUUUCUUUUCUUUCCUUUGAUGAACGCAACCUUUUCUUUCUUUUAAACACAACCCAAACCCAGAAUUAAGCACCCACCUAGUCCUAUCUAGUCCAGAUAACGUGAACCAGAACUACAUGAGAUACUAUCCUUGUCGUUACAGACCUAACACUUUCUACCAAGCUCAAUCGAAAUAAGGCCUCACAUUCACACACAAAUGAUAAAUGGCUUGAAAGAAGGUUAAGGCUAAGGGUGGGGAAUAACUGCUCCAAAGAUGGGAGUCAGCUACUUGGACUAGCAAGAGUGAUCAAAAGGUAAAAGAAAGUCCAAGUAUUUUAAGGUAUCCAUGAAUUCAUAGCACAAUGCACAGCAUGAUAAUUAUAAGUCAAAAUUCAAGUUCAAAUAGAUAGGGAAAGGCAUCAGAUCAAAGCGAGAUUCGACUAAAAACAAGAAAGUCAAGCGUUGAAUUCAAAAGAUGGUGCGGUCUUACUUCAAGUUCAGUCGAUUAUGCAUUAGAGAACUAACAACCAGGGCACUGAGUUCUACUUAGUGAAUAAGCAUAUUUACAAGGUUAUAAUCAUCAUAAUCUCCAAUGCAAAUGCAUGAUGCAACAACCCUAAGUGAAAGCAUACUAAAACAAUCCUAAAAUGACAAUGCAAGCUAUAUGAACACUCUGUUUUUAUGAAAUUAUUUUCAAAAAAUUUCAAAUUUUUAUGGUUUUUCUGUGCCUUAGAUGCAAUGAUGUAAAAUUUGAAAUAAGAAAACAAAACACAAUGUCAAAUACUCCCUGAGCCCUCCCCCAAACUUAAAUUACACAGUCCUCUGUGUAACAAGCAUUUGGAAGAGAGUACUCAGGGCAAACCAACAGAGAAACAAAAUAUAAUGUAGUAUAUACAAUGGUGAAUUGGAGUUGUUACCUCAUGGAUGGGUGAAGAAGGAGGUGACUGACCUGGUACUGGUGGGCUUCAUGGGCUAACUCGACGUCUCAUCGAGCAGGUACGUCGAGUAGGGCUUCGGUUUUGGUUUGGAGAGACACCAAGGGGCAAGCUCGACUUCACGUCGAGGAGGGCAGGUCGAGUCAAGGCCACUCAUUCUGUUUUGCGCCUUGGCUUCCUUAAAACGCUUUAUCCUGAGACACUUAAGCAAAAACAUCAAAAAUAACAAGAAAAAUAACUAAUAUUUACAAGGAUAGACAUGGGACUUCCUUCCAAGUGAGCUUGUUUAAAGUCUUUAGCUUGACUUCUCACACUGAAUGAGCUUAGGGUGGAUUGUAGAGAGCAAAUGAGGUCUCCUCUGUCCUGCAGGUGAAUGAAUCAUCAAGCUUAGCACGCCCUCUUGAUAAAUCUGCAGUUGAGUACUCAAUGGCCCUUUUCUCAUAGUAAGCUUCUUGUUGAUCAACUGGAUAGUCUUCUGCUAUAGACCAUUCUGAAGUGAAUCACUCCCCUUUGCGCUGACCAGAGUAGACGCUUCAUCAUUUGGGAUGUCCUUGAUUUGGAGUGGUACUUGGUUGGCUAUCCCAUGGAGCUUCUUGAUCUGAUCCUUCAGCUCUCUCACAGUGCCUGUUAGCUCCCUUAUGGCUUUAUCCUGCCAUUUGGACCUCUCCUUGAGUUCUAACCAGCCAUCUGGAGCAGAAUUGCUAGACUCUAGCAGCUUAUCACGAUGUUUGGUCGAGCUAGAGUUCUCCAGACUAGUUGAAGGCUUGCUCAAAUGUAUACUCGAGUCAGUUGGUUAAGCAUGUGUUGAGCUUGCUUCAUAUGCCACCUUAACCUCUGUUUCUGGCUCAAUCAAGCCUUUAAAGACCUCUGACCCUGCUACUUCCUUGUGUGAGUCUAGUGACUUACCACAUCUCAAGGUUUCAGUGAGAAGAUAUCCUGCUUCACCACUGUUAGUCAAAGAAGUUUUUUAGUGAUCUUCCUCAGCAACCUCCUCUAGCUGUUCAUCAGCUAGGCAAUCCAUUACCUUAACUACGAAGGUCUGUCCUUCAAUUGCUGGCUUCCUCGUGGCAUCAUUGAUGUCAAACUUCAUUGUGAAAUCAUUUCCCAGAUUAAGAUCAAUCUUCCCAUUCUUAACAUCAAUGACAGCUCCAGCAGUGGCUAAGAAGGGCCUUCCUAAGAUUAAAGGAUCUUUUGGUUCAUUCAUUUCUAGCACUAUGAAGUCUGUAGGGAUUUCAGCAUUUCCAAUCUUAAUAGGCAAAUCUUCUAAUAACCCAUGAGGAAAUCUGACAGACUCAUCAGCCAGGAUCAAGGAGAUGUUGCAAGGUUUAUACUUGCUGAAACCCAGUCUCUUGGCCACGGAGAGAGGCAUGAGACUUUUAAAAGCACCUAGAUCGCAGAGGCAGUUACUGAAGGCCAAAGUGCCUAGAGAGUAAGGUAAAGUAAACGAACCAGGAUCUCCCAAUUUCUUGGGAAUAAUCUUUGUUUGGAUGAUUUCACUGCACUCAUGACUCUCCAUCCCUUGCACUUCCUUAAUUCUCUCCAUUACCAUGUCUUUGAAGAACUUGUGAGAAUCCGGAAUUAGCAUGAAAGCAUCAAUGAGAGGCAUCCUUGAUUCAAUCUCCUUGAUGUGUUUAGCAAACAUGGCUCUGUACUUCUCAAUGAUAUCCCUCUUGAAUCUUCCUGGGAAUGGUAUUUUGGGCUUGUAGGGUGGUGGGAUAAAAGCUUUCUUCUUACUCUUAUCAACAACUCGUUCUUUGAUCUGGGGGCUUUUAGCAUGAUCACUAGGUACAGUCUCUUGGUCUAACUUAGUGGUGUCUUCUACUUGAGUUUCAUGCUGAAUGAAAUCCUCCCCCUCUUGAAUCUCACUGUCCUCAGUGACAGGUGCGGGGCUAGGUCGAGUUUGCAGCUCUCGACCACUGCAAAGGUGAAUAGCAUUAACAUGACCUUUUUGAUGCUGAAUAGCUUUCCCUGGCAGUUGCCCUGGAUUCUGAGGUGCAGAAGUAGAGGCAACUUGGCUCUCCAUGUACUUAAUCCUGGAGUUUAGAGCCUCAAUCUUGACAUUGAGAUCAUUGAAGGUGCAGUCUACUUUGUUGUGAAUCUCAGCCAUUUUCUUAUCACCAGCUGCUUGACCGUGUAGAAGCUGCUGAAGCAUUUGCUUCAUGUCUUGAUCUUGUGCAGGUGGAGCUGGCUGGGGUUGCUGUGCAAAACCGGGUGGUGGAUUAUAUUGUUGAUAACCGCCAUUAAACUGCUGCUUUGGGACAAAGCCUUGAUUGUAUGGUAUGAAUGGCUUGGAUUGGUUCUGUUGUUGCUGAGGGUAAACCUGAUCCUGAGGGUUUGCAACAUUCGUGCUCCGGUAAGGUAGAUUUGGAUGAGCAUGCUGGUAGGGGUUGUAGCCCUUGUUGUAACCACCUUGGUUCUGUAUGUAGCUGACUUCCGCAGCGUGAGUAGUCUCCCCUUCUUGGAGUUGAUAGUGCUCUUCUUCAGUAAUAUAGUGGACUUGCUUCUGUUGAGUCAGCAGAAUCUUAUCCAACUUAUCGUUGAGAGCCUUGAUAUCUUUACUAUGCUUCGCAUCCGAAUCUCCAAUACCUCUGUUGGAGCGAUCAAAAUCUUCAUUAUAAUAACUGUCGGACUGAGCUAAGUUCUCAACCAAUUCCCAACCUUCUUCAACAUCCUUAUUCAAGAAAUUCCCAUUUGAAGCAGUGUCCAGGACCAUUCUGAACUUGGGCAGAGCUCCUCUGUAGAGUGUACUGAGUAGUGAAGCCUUCUUUAAACCAUGGUGUGGACACUGUAUAGUGUAGCCUUUGAAUCUCUCCCAGGCCUCACAAAUGGAUUCAGACUGCUUUUGUGUAAAACUGGAGAUUUCAUUUCGUAGACGUGCAGUUCUUGAAUUGGAGAAGAACUUUGUUAAGAAAGCCUUCUUGCAAUCGUCCCAAGAUGUGAUGGAGCCAGCAGGUAGUGUCUUCUCCCAGUGGUGUGCUUUGUCUCCCAGCGAGAAGGGAAAUAGACGCAGCAUGAAGCUGUCUUCACUAACACCAUUUAUCUUGGUAAGGCUGCAGAGCCUAUCAAAAUUAUCCAAGUGAUCCAAGGGGUCUUCCAGAGGCAACCCAUGAAACUUGUUACCUUGAAUCAUUGAGAUCAAUCCACUCUUGAUCUCGAAAUUGUUGUUCUGGACAGGAGGUGGAACGAUGCCCUGUCUCUAUUGAUGGUUGCGUGGUGCAUCACCAUCACCAAUGUUCUGUGGUAUACCAACUCCUUGAUUAUCUUGAUCUUGUGGUUCCAUGGCUACUGGAUUGUGCGGUUCACAAUCGUCUCUGGCUCUACCUUCUCUUAACUCACGAGCUAACCGAUCAAUGUUGUCUUUGUAGCUGAUGAGGUUGUUGGAGCCUUUAGAACGAGUUUGCAUGCAAAGUGGUUAGUCUCGACGUGGCAGGCUCAACUGUAGGUCGAGUAGGUACCUGGAGCACAAAAACAAGCAGAUGAAAUGAAGAGUUAGUAACCAAGGUAAAGAAAGAACUUGAUCUUAAACGUUUCUGAAAUCUUAAAUGGAACAAUGCAACACAAGACUGGCAACGGCGCCAAAUUGAUAGUGGAAUUUCUCUGUCUAACAAGUAUCAAUCCCUAAUACACAUGCCAUUGUAGUAUAUUAGGUUUAUCAAUCCAAUCUCAGUGUGACUGCAAGCAUUUAAGGUAUGCACAGAAAUCAAAUAAGUCAAGCCAAUUAUGAAAGGGUUUUGUGUGUUUCUAUUGAUCCUAAGCAACCAAUUGAACAUGCAAAUACCGAAUUUAAAAGCGUAAAAAGAGAACUAAACAGCAAGUAAACAAGAGCAAGAAGUAUACUAAAGACCAGAAACUAUCAUGCAUAAGCUUUGGAAAAGAAACUAUCAACCUAACAAAGCAGAGAAACGAUCUAGGACUAACAGGUCGAGUAGAACACAAAAGCUAACAGAAACGAGAUUUAAACAAUCAAUAGAGAUAAAAGGGUCCUGAGGAAUGGGAUAAUCGAUUAUAGCAGUCUCCUUAGUCUAUCUAAGAGGUUAACAAACUCAAUCAAGCUAUCCCUAGACAAUAGAUUCGAAUACAAAUCAAUCCACUCUCGUGACAGAGAUUCUCAAGCUAAAUCACUUUCAUACUCAAUUCUCAUUAAAGAAAUAUAACCUAGCAGGCAUUAUGAUUCAAUCUAAUAUAGUCAAUAAGCAUUCUAAACAUCCAAUCUCUUGGGCUAGAGUAUGCAAAUCUCUGGAAUAGUUGGUUCAGACAUUUCAUCAAACACUUUUUGGGUGUGGAAAUGUCUGAGAUCAACUUCCAAUUGAUCAGAGAAGAAGUAGCAUUAAGAUCUACUAAACCAGAAGGGAAAUCAAGCAAUUCUACACUUAACCACCUAAAUAUACUAAGGAUUCCACACCUAAUCUAACACAUCCUCAAGAACGCUAAUCCACUACUCAAGAACACUGAAGAACAUCAUGCAUAAACACCCAGAAAAUUGCACAAACCCAGAAAUCAUUGAAAAGCAAGUAUGUUAUAGAUAAGAAGGAGAUCUACAACUUUGAUGAAGAAACAAAAUUCAAAAACUCAAAGGAUCAAAGGGAAAAACGAUUACAAAACUAGGGUUUUUAGAGAGAGCAGCGGAAUAUCUACUGGGUAAAAGGAAUAUCCGCUGGACAAUAGCAUGUACCCCUAUUUAUAGGAAAUACUAGGUUGCCCUAAUUGGCUACAGGACAAAAUAGAGAGUCGGCGGAGACCAACUCGACGUGUCAUCGAGCCUGCCACGUCGACCCCAUGUCAUUCUUCAAAGGCGGCGGCUUGAUGACCAACUCGACGUGUCGUCUAGUCCAUGUCAUCGAGUCUGCUCCCAAUCGGCUUCCUGGCGUCCUACUCGACGUGUCAUCGAGCCAUGACGUCGAGUCUGGUCCUGGGUGAUCUUGAACGACUUCAUUCCUCUCCAACUCGAUCCCAAGUCUAGCUCCAAGGUCGUGUUGGUUCCUCCAUGCUCCAUUAAGUCUCAAAUAAGCUCCAAAGUACCUGAAACUCAUCCAAUAUGCAACAUGCUAUGCCAUGCAAUGCAAAUCGUACUAAGUGAUGAAAA